rnacentral:rRNA from 1 species
UACGGGGGGGGCAAGCGUUGUUCGGAAUUCCUGGGCGUAAAGGGCGCGUAGGCGGUCGUGCAAGUCGGAUGUGAAAUCUCAGGGCUCAACCCUGAAACUGCAUUCGAUACUGCGCGGCUAGAGUGCUGGAGGGGAGACUGGAAUUUACGGUGUAGCAGUGAAAUGCGUAGAUAUCGUAAGGAAGACCAGUGGCGAAGGCGAGUCUCUGGACAGCAACUGACGCUGAGGCACGAAGGCCAGGGGAGCAAACGGG